rnacentral:lncRNA from 1 species
AGCUGGGCGGUCACAUCUGGAAAUGGAAAGCCGACCUCCCCCUCCUCCUCCACCUCCUCCUCCUCCUCCUCCUUCUCCUCCUCUCACCCAGGAUCACUUCCGAAACCAGUUGGCCUUCAGCCCCUGCCUCGGCCAGAGCCUACUUGUGAAGACAAGGAUGAAGACCUCCAUGAUGAGCCAUCUCCACUUAAUGACUGUCUCACAUUGGCCGGCAACUUGUUCCAGAUGAAAUCUUGCUCUGUCACCCAGGCUGGAGUGCAAUGGCUCGAUCUCGGCUCACUGCAACCUCCACCUUCUGGGUUCAAGCAAUUCUCCUGCCUCAGCCUCCUGAGUAGCUGGGAUUACAGAUGGAGUCUCACUGUGUCCCCAGGCUGGAGUGCAGUGGCGCGAUCUCAACUCACUGCAAGCUCUGCCUCCCGGGUUCACGCCAUUCUCCUGCCUCAGGCUCCCGAGUAGCUGGGACUACAGGCGCCCGCCACCACUCCCGGCUAAUUUUUUUUGUAUUUUCAGUAGAGACGGGAUAUCACCAUGUUAGCCAGGAUGGUCUCGAUCUCCUGACCUCGUGAUCCGCCCUCCUCAGUCUCCCAAAGUAUUAGGAUUACAGGCGUGAGCCACCGCCCCCGGCCCUCAAAGAUUGUUAUGAGUCCUCACAGAUGUCAGAGGACGAUGCUGUGACCUAUAUUUGCAAACGCCCGGAAGACUUAAAGCUAUUGUUUUGCAAAUGCACAGAUAACAAUAAUAACAUGAUGCUGUGGAUGAGCAUGAAAGUUUUUCUCUUACUCCUAAUUAUAAUGUUUUCCCUCUUACUGCUUUGCCCUGCUGAUGGAAUUCAGUAAAGGAAUCUCUACCAGCAGACACUUGGUUUUUACCCUUCCUAGGACCUUUAAUAGAUAUCUUUUUAUUACUAAUCUUUGCUCUUUGCUUGUUUAACCUCCUUGUAAAGUUUGUGUCUUCCAGAUUACAAUAAUUCCAUGUAAAGAUGAUGCUGGCACAAGGCUUUCAACCCAUCCCCUCUUCUGACCCAGAAGAUAAAGACAUCCUACCUUUGAGCCUUUUAGAACAGGUAUCCAGGGAUUUUACCUCUCCAGUGCUAGGCAGGGUCUAUGCCCAUAACAUCAGCAGGAAGCAGUUACAGAAGAUGAACCUCCGCCCUUCUGCAAGCCCCUUAAGAUUAAGGAGGAGUAUAUAAUCUCUGAUGGGGAAAUGAGGUAGGAGACCAGAAGGACUUAUUUUCCAUUCCCAACCCCAUUGAACAGAGCAGGAUCUGGUCAAAACAGGGUGCAGUGGAGAAGCCUGCUGAAACCAGCAGAUGAUGAUGAAAGUGACCUCUAGUUGCCCUCACUGCUUAUGAGCAUAAAGACACUACCACUGGGACCAUGGCCAGUUUACAAAUGUCAUGGCAACACACCUUGGCAAUGGCCUGGAAGUUACUUUAUAUGGUUCUGGAAACUCCCUGCCCCUUUCCCAGAAAGUUCUGAAUAACCUACCUCUUAAUUGGCAUGCAAUUAAAAGUGGCUCUAAAUACAACUAGCUAGUAGCCCACAGGCACAAACUCUGGGCACACUGCCUAUAGGUUAGCCCUGCUCUGCAAGAAGUAGCACCAGUUCAAUAAAAGUUGCUUUCUCUC